rnacentral:rRNA from 1 species
AUUGAACGCUGGCGGCAUGCCUUACACAUGCAAGUCGAACGGCAGCACGGGGGCAACCCUGGUGGCGAGUGGCGAACGGGUGAGUAAUACAUCGGAACGUGCCCGAUAGUGGGGGAUAGCUCGGCGAAAGCCGGAUUAAUACCGCAUACGACCUACGGGUGAAAGCGGGGGAUCGCAAGACCUCGCGCUAUCAGAGCGGCCGAUGUCAGAUUAGGUUGUUGGUGGGGUAAAGGCCUACCAAGCCGACGAUCUGUAGCUGGUCUGAGAGGACGACCAGCCACACUGGGACUGAGACACGGCCCAGACUCCUACGGGAGGCAGCAGUGGGGAAUCUUGCGCAAUGGGCGAAAGCCUGACGCAGCGACGCCGCGUGAGGGAUGACGG